AACGCACCUUGCGCUCCUUGGUAUUCCGAGGAGCAUGCCUGUUUGAGUGUCAUUAAAUUCUCAACCUCACCCAUUUUGUCAUGAAGUGGUCUGUGUAGGCUUGGAUGUGGGGGCUUGCAGGUCCGACCUUUGGGUUGGUCUGCUCCUCUGAAAUGCAUUAGUGGGUUGUGCCCCUAAUCUAUUGGUGUGAUAAUUAUCUACGCCGUGGAUCAGGAUUGGCGAUCAAUGACCUGCUCAUAACCGUCCGUCUCGGACAGCUUUGACAUUUUUGACCUCAAAUCAGGUAAGACUACCCGCUGAACUUAA
rnacentral:misc_RNA from 1 species